rnacentral:misc_RNA from 1 species
CGCACAUUGCGCCCCUUGGUAUUCCGGGGGGCAUGCCUGUUCGAGCGUCAUUUCAACCCUCAAGCCUUGCUUGGUCUUGGGCGCUGCCGGAAACGGCUGGCCCUAAAAUCAGUGGCAGUGUCGGUAGGCUCUAUGCGUAGUAGUUAUUCUCGCUAUUGAGACCUGCUGCACCCGCGCCAGCAACCCCUAAUUUUCUAUGGUUGACCUCGGAUCAGGUAGGGAUACCCGCUGAACUUAA